CAGUAGCCGCGGUAAUACGAAGGGGGCUAGCGUUGUUCGGAAUUACUGGGCGUAAAGCGCACGUAGGCGGACAUUUAAGUCAGGGGUGAAAUCCCGGGGCUCAACCCCGGAACUGCCUUUGAUACUGGGUGUCUAGAGUAUGGAAGAGGUGAGUGGAAUUCCGAGUGUAGAGGUGAAAUUCGUAGAUAUUCGGAGGAACACCAGUGGCGAAGGCGGCUCACUGGUCCAUUACUGACGCUGAGGUGCGAAAGCGUGGGGAGCAAACAGGAUUAGAUACCCCCGUAGUCCCUGUCUCUUAUAA
rnacentral:rRNA from 1 species